AGCUCGUUCCCGGUUACUCACUCAACCUGGGUGUGAUGUGUGCACUCGUUGCUCGGCCCAUCACAACCUCCUUGAGUGAGCGAUCGUCUAUGAGCC